GACGAACGCUGGCGGCAUGCCUAACACAUGCAAGUCGAACGGGAUCCUAGCUUGCUAGGUGAGAGUGGCGGACGGGUGAGUAACACGUGGGAAUCUGCCUUUUUGGUUCGGGAUAACCGCGGGAAACUGCGGCUAAUACCGAAUGCCCUCGAGAGAGGAAAGAUUUAUCGCCAGAAGAGGAGCCCGCGUCCGAUUAGGUAGUUGGUGGGGUAAAGGCCUACCAAGCCGACGAUCGGUAGCUGGUCUGAGAGGAUGACCAGCCACACUGGGACUGAGAUACGGCCCAGACUCCUACGGGAGCAGCAGUGGGGAAUAUUGGACAAUGGGGGCAACCCUGAUCCAGCAAUGCCGCGUGAGUGAUGAAGGCCUUAGGGUUGUAAAGCUCUUUUACCAGGGUAUGAUAAUGACAGUACCUGGAGAAUAAGCUCCGGCUAACUCCGUG
rnacentral:rRNA from 1 species